AGUCACUGACAUUAGAUACCCCCGUAGUCCAGGGUGUAAACGCUGCAGACUUGGUGUUGGAGGCCCUUUGGGGGCAUUCAGUGCCGGAGAGAAGUUGUUAAGUCUGCUACUUGGGGAGUACGUCCGCAAGGAUGAAACUUAAAGGAAUUGGCGGGGGAGCACCGCAACGGGAGGAGCGUGCGGUUUAAUUGGAUUCAACACCGUAAAACUCACCAGGGAAGACUGUUACAUGAAGGCCGAGAUGAAGACUCUGCUAGAUUUCAG
rnacentral:rRNA from 1 species